AGUGGCGGACGGGUGAGUAACGCGUGGGCAACCUGCCCCACACAGGGGGACAACAGCCGGAAACGGCUGCUAAUACCGCAUAAGCGCACAGCCUCGCAUGAGGCGGUGUGAAAAGCUCCGGCGGUGUGGGAUGGGCCCGCGUCUGAUUAGCUGGUUGGCGGGGCAGCGGCCCACCAAGGCGACGAUCAGUAGCCGGCCUGAGAGGGUGGACGGCCACAUUGGGACUGAGACACGGCCCAAACUCCUACGGGAGGCAGCAGUGGGGAAUAUUGCACAAUGGGGGGAACCCUGAUGCAGCGACGCCGCGUGAGUGAAGAAGUAUUUCGGUAUGUAAAGCUCUAUCAGCAGGGAAGAAGAUGACGGUACCUGACUAAGAAGCCCCGGCUAACUACGUGCCAGCAGCCGCGGUAAUACGUAGGGGGCAAGCGUUAUCCGGAUUUACUGGGUGUAAAGGGAGCGUAGACGGCAGGGCAAGUCUGGAGUGAAAGCCCGGGGCCCAACCCCGGGACUGCUUUGGAAACUGCCAUGCUGGAGUGCUGGAGAGGUAAGCGGAAUUCCUAGUGUAGCGGUGAAAUGCGUAGAUAUUAGGAGGAACACCAGUGGCGAAGGCGGCUUACUGGACAGUAACUGACGUUGAGGCUCGAAAGCGUGGGGAGCAAACAGGAUUAGAUACCCUGGUA
rnacentral:rRNA from 1 species